UUUCCGUAGGUGAACCUGCGGAAGGAUCAUUAAUGAGUUGUCAUGGGGUUCGAUGCUGGCAGCCAGUUUUUGGAUGCAUGUGCUUGCCCUAACAAUCAUCUUCCAAACACCUGUGCACAUUUUUGAGGGAGUCUUGAGUUGGUUGCCGCUCUUGGGUGAUUUUCUCACAUUCCCUUAAAUCAUUAUACACUAUUAACAAUGUUGAACGUGCUCUGUGCCGCAAGGCUAUUAAUAUAAUACAACUUUUAACAACGGAUCUCUUGGCUCUC
rnacentral:misc_RNA from 1 species